GAUAAAAAAGGACAAACUAUAAUCCGUAGACCUUCAACGUCUGAGAUAUCUUGUGUUUUUUAUUG
rnacentral:tRNA from 1 species